AGCGAACGCUGGCGGCAGGCUUAACACAUGCAAGUCGAGCGGGCGUAGCAAUACGUCAGCGGCAGACGGGUGAGUAACGCGUGGGAACGUACCUUUUGGUUCGGAACAACACAGGGAAACUUGUGCUAAUACCGGAUAAGCCCUUACGGGGAAAGAUUUAUCGCCGAAAGAUCGGCCCGCGUCUGAUUAGCUAGUUGGUGAGGUAACGGCUCACCAAGGCGACGAUCAGUAGCUGGUCUGAGAGGAUGAUCAGCCACAUUGGGACUGAGAUACGGCCCAGACUCCUACGGGAGGCAGCAGUGGGGAAUAUUGGACAAUGGGGGCAACCCUGAUCCAGCAAUGCCGCGUGAGUGAUGAAGGCCUCGGUUGUAAGCUCUUUGUCCAGGGACGAUGAUGACGGUACCUGGAGAAUAAGCCCCGGCUAACUUCGUGCCAGCAGCCGCGGUAA
rnacentral:rRNA from 1 species